CAUCAGUGGCGCUGGCUCUCUUCAUCCGCCAGAUGUGCCCUUAAGCUGCUCUCUACUUGAAGGAAGAGGUCAGGGAUGACAAGAACCCAGCACGGUGGCACCGUUACAGGAAGGGAGCAUUGGGGAAGUCAGCCGAGGAGAAACAGGGAUAAUCAAAUAAAUGUGCUAUGUUGGACACUGUGACGGGAAGAAGAUGGAAGAGAGAGGAUGUGAGCAUGUAUAUUUGAAGACGAGGGAAAGAGUGGCUGUGGCAGAAAAAUCAACUCGUACACUGAGUGAGUCAUGUGCAGUUUUCCGGAGUACACAGACUCUUCACCUAUGGUUGGAUUCCCAGGGGACCAUGGUUCCUAAGGUAAGGAUUCCUAGUGGAGGGUUGUGGAGCUCACCUAUCCCAGCCCUUGGGAAGCUGAGGCAGGAGGAUUGCUGCGAGUUCGAGGCCAACCUGGGCUACAUAGUGAGUUCAAGUCCAGUCUGAAUUGCGUAGUGAGAACUUGUUGCAAAAUGACCAAAGUGUGUGGGGGGGAAGAAUUCCUGAUGCAAGCAGUCCCUAAAGUACAGAAACUAUUGGUGUCGAGAGCCAUCUAGCAUGUUCACAGAGCCAGGAACUCUGGGAGUUUUAGAAGCAGAAGCCAUGUUUUCUCUGGAGUUCCUAGCUCUGCUGUGGGCUGAUCUGGAAGGCUGUAAGGGCCAGCUUUAGUGCUAAAGCAGUGGGUGUUGCGUUAUGCACCUGCAUUUACCCCCCCCCCCCACACUUGGCCGGAGUGAGUGAUGUACUUCUGCGGGGAACUCAUAUUUUUAAAAUUUCCACUGGCGACUCCGCUGCCUGUGACGUGUCCCCCAGUGCCUCAGGAUGUCAUUUUCGGGCGUCCCCUCCGCCCUUGGCACAGACUCCCACAGGCCCCCGACGAACUCGGAUGGAUCUUCGCCCUGGCCAGGAGCCCAGCCUAAGAGCCAGCCCGGACAGCGCUGCCCCUCCCCUCCAAGCGACAGCAUUGUGAAGACUGGAGAGCAAAACGGGUCGCCCACAAGGAAACUCCAGAAAGCGGGCAGUCAGAAGUGCUGCAGGGAGCACUUCCGGCACAGCCUCUGCGGGCGGUCAGAGGUGCGGGCGGUCAGAGGUGCGGCCUGGGGUCGCCGGCGGACUGUUCCCAUGCUUGUGAGUGUCGGGUUGUAGGAGUGGAGCAGCUUCUAGGAGUAGUGACUGGGUUGGUAUGACAGCCAGGGCUCUCACCUUUGAACCUCAAGUGAGUCCCUCCCUGAGGACCAAGCUGGGAGACCCAAGAAACACACUGGGCACCGCCCCUCUCUUGGCCGCUCCCACUUGAAUCAAGGCCACCAAGACCCUUUUCUCACCUGGAAAGGGCAAUCAGGCAGAUCUGAAGAUGGCCGUGCUGCUAGAGGAAAGUCUGCACGCCGCAGACUCAGCAGCACCACCCGCUUCACAGACCUCUGUACCUCCCAGGAAGUCUCUUACCGCCAACAGUUUCUCACCUCCUCUGUCUGGGUAUCGGGUCAGUCUCUUCAGAAAUAAACCGUGAAUGGUGUUUGUGACAGAGAA
rnacentral:lncRNA from 1 species